rnacentral:tRNA from 1 species
GGAGAGGUACCCAAGUGGCCAAAGGGGGCAGACUGUAAAUCUGUUGGCGGACGCCUUCGCUGGUUCGAAUCCAGCCCUCUCCACCA